rnacentral:rRNA from 1 species
UACGUAGGGGGCGAGCGUUGUCCGGAUUUAUUAGGCGUAAAGAGCUCGUAGGCGGCUUGGCAAGUCGGGUGUGAAACCUCCAGGCUCAACCUGGAGACGCCACUCGAUACUGCCAUGGCUAGAGUCCGGUAGGGGACCACGGAAUUCCUGGUGUAGCGGUGAAAUGCGCAGAUAUCAGGAGGAACACCGGUGGCGAAGGCGGAUCUCUGGGCCAUUACUGACGCUGAGGAGCGAAAGCGUGGGGAGCAAACAGG